ensembl:lncRNA
CCCUGAGUCGAGAGGCGACAGGCAUGGCACUUCCGCGUCACCCCAGAAGCUCAGUGCGGCGGAGCGGAACUACGACAUAGGUGAUCGUGAGCUGCUGGCCGUGGUUCGAGCUCUGUCGGCGUGGAGGCACUGGUUAGAGGGGGCUAAACACCCUUUCCUCGUCUGGACUGACCACCGGAACCUGGAGUACAUGCGGGCAGCGAGGAGGCUGACCCCUCGCCAGGCAAGGUGGGCUAUGUUCUUCACCCGGUUUGUGUUUACUCUCACCUACAGGCCGGGGAGUAAGAACGUCGGGGCUGACGCACUGUCCCGCCAGCAUGACACGGAGGAGAGGCCAGUGGAUGAUGCUCCCGUGCUCCCGGAGUCAUGCAUCGUGGCACCGGUGGUAUGGGAACUGGACGCGGACAUCGCCGGAGCACAGCGCGACGAGCCCUCUCCGCCCACAUGCCCUGAGGGCCGUACGUAUGUGCCGGCGUCUGUCCGCGACUGCCUCAUCUACUGGGCGCAUACAUCUCCCUCCUCCGGUCAUCCUGGCAUCGGGCCAACAGUGCGCGCCCUGGCCGGCCGGUGGUGGAUGGUCCCCUCCAGGGGUGUGAGGUGCGGGAGGUUCCCCCUCUGGACAUCGAGGGGGCCCCGGCGUACUCUGUCCGCUCCAUCAUCGACUCGAGGCGCCGGGCGGGGGGCCUCCAGUACCUCGUGGAGUGGGAGGGGUACGGCCCGGAGGAGCGGAGCUGGGUUCCGGUGAAGGACGUCCUGGCUCCCGCCCUUGUCCGCGACUUCCAUCAGCG